rnacentral:tRNA from 1 species
GAUCCUGUAGUGUAGUGGUUAUCAUGUUUGCUUUACAUGCAAAAGGUCGCUGGUUC